rnacentral:piRNA from 1 species
UACCUGGUGACUGCGUGCGUCUAGCAUUC